rnacentral:sRNA from 12 species
UGACCAUUCCAUUUACGUGGAAUCAAGGCCAUACGGACAGCCGGGUCAAAUGCCGA